rnacentral:tRNA from 1 species
UGGGGAUGUAGCUUAGUGGUAGAGUCCUUGUCUAGCAUGUAUGAGGCACCCUGGGUUCGAUCCCCAAUACUAA